rnacentral:rRNA from 1 species
UUAAGCGACUAAGCGUACACGGUGGAUGCCCUGGCAGUCAGAGGCGAUGAAGGACGUGCUAAUCUGCGAAAAGCGUCGGUAAGGUGAUAUGAACCGUUAUAACCGGCGAUGUCCGAAUGGGGAAACCCAGUGCAAUUCGUUGCACUAUCGUUAACUGAAUACAUAGGUUAACGAGGCGAACCGGGGGAACUGAAACAUCUAAGUACCCCGAGGAAAAGAAAUCAACCGAGAUUCCCCCAGUAGCGGCGAGCGAACGGGGAGCAGCCCAGAGUCUGAAUCAGCUUGUGUGUUAGUGGAACGGUCUGGAAAGUCCGACGGUACAGGGUGAUAGUCCCGUACACCAAAAUGCACAGGCUGUGAACUCGAAGAGUAGGGCGGGACACGUGGUAUCCUGUCUGAAUAUGGGGGGACCAUCCUCCAAGGCUAAAUACUCCUGACUGACCGAUAGUGAACCAGUACCGUGAGGGAAAGGCGAAAAGAACCCCGGCGAGGGGAGUGAAAAAGAACCUGAAACCGUGUACGUACAAGCAGUGGGAGCACCUUCGGGUGUGACUGCGUACCUUUUGUAUAAUGGGUCAGCGACUUAUAUUCUGUAGCAAGGUUAACCGUAUAGGGGAGCCGCAGGGAAACCGAGUCUUAACUGGGCGUUAAGUUGCAGGGUAUAGACCCGAAACCCGGUGAUCUAGCCAUGGGCAGGUUGAAGGUUGGGUAACACUAACUGGAGGACCGAACCGACUAAUGUUGAAAAAUUAGCGGAUGACUUGUGGCUGGGGGUGAAAGGCCAAUCAAACCGGGAGAUAGCUGGUUCUCCCCGAAAGCUAUUUAGGUAGCGCCUCGUGAAUUCAUCUUCGGGGGUAGAGCACUGUUUCGGCUAGGGGGUCAUCCCGACUUACCAACCCGAUGCAAACUACGAAUACCGAAGAAUGUUAUCACGGGAGACACACGGCGGGUGCUAACGUCCGUCGUGAAGAGGGAAACAACCCAGACCGCCAGCUAAGGUCCCAAAGUCAUGGUUAAGUGGGAAACGAUGUGGGAAGGCACAGACAGCCAGGAUGUUGGCUUAGAAGCAGCCAUCAUUUAAAGAAAGCGUAAUAGCUCACUGGUCGAGUCGGCCUGCGCGGAAGAUGUAACGGGGCUAAACCAUGCACCGAAGCUGCGGCAGCGACACUAUGUGUUGUUGGGUAGGGGAGCGUUCUGUAAGCCUGCGAAGGUGACCUGUGAGGGUUGCUGGAGGUAUCAGAAGUGCGAAUGCUGACAUAAGUAACGAUAAAGCGGGUGAAAAGCCCGCUCGCCGGAAGACCAAGGGUUCCUGUCCAACGUUAAUCGGGGCAGGGUGAGUCGACCCCUAAGGCGAGGCCGAAAGGCGUAGUCGAUGGGAAACAGGUUAAUAUUCCUGUACUUGGUGUUACUGCGAAGGGGGGACGGAGAAGGCUAUGUUAGCCGGGCGACGGUUGUCCCGGUUUAAGCAUGUAGGCUGGUUAUCCAGGCAAAUCCGGAUAAUCAAGGCUGAGGUGUGAUGACGAGGCACUACGGUGCUGAAGUAACAAAUGCCCUGCUUCCAGGAAAAGCCUCUAAGCAUCAGGUAACAUCAAAUCGUACCCCAAACCGACACAGGUGGUCAGGUAGAGAAUACCAAGGCGCUUGAGAGAACUCGGGUGAAGGAACUAGGCAAAAUGGUGCCGUAACUUCGGGAGAAGGCACGCUGGUGUGUAGGUGAAGCCCCUGCGGGUGGAGCUGAGACCAGUCGAAGAUACCAGCUGGCUGCAACUGUUUAUUAAAAACACAGCACUGUGCAAACACGAAAGUGGACGUAUACGGUGUGACGCCUGCCCGGUGCCGGAAGGUUAAUUGAUGGGGUUAUCCGUAAGGAGAAGCUCUUGAUCGAAGCCCCGGUAAACGGCGGCCGUAACUAUAACGGUCCUAAGGUAGCGAAAUUCCUUGUCGGGUAAGUUCCGACCUGCACGAAUGGCGUAAUGAUGGCCAGGCUGUCUCCACCCGAGACUCAGUGAAAUUGAACUCGCUGUGAAGAUGCAGUGUACCCGCGGCAAGACGGAAAGACCCCGUGAACCUUUACUAUAGCUUGACACUGAACAUUGAGCCUUGAUGUGUAGGAUAGGUGGGAGGCUUUGAAGCGUGGACGCCAGUCUGCGUGGAGCCAACCUUGAAAUACCACCCUUUAAUGUUUGAUGUUCUAACGUUGGCCCCUGACCGGGGUUGCGGACAGUGUCUGGUGGGUAGUUUGACUGGGGCGGUCUCCUCCCAAAGCGUAACGGAGGAGCACGAAGGUUAGCUAAUCCUGGUCGGACAUCAGGAGGUUAGUGCAAUGGCAUAAGCUAGCUUGACUGCGAGCGUGACGGCGCGAGCAGGUGCGAAAGCAGGUCAUAGUGAUCCGGUGGUUCUGAAUGGAAGGGCCAUCGCUCAACGGAUAAAAGGUACUCCGGGGAUAACAGGCUGAUACCGCCCAAGAGUUCAUAUCGACGGCGGUGUUUGGCACCUCGAUGUCGGCUCAUCACAUCCUGGGGCUGAAGUAGGUCCCAAGGGUAUGGCUGUUCGCCAUUUAAAGUGGUACGCGAGCUGGGUUUAGAACGUCGUGAGACAGUUCGGUCCCUAUCUGCCGUGGGCGCUGGAGAAUUGAGGGGGGCUGCUCCUAGUACGAGAGGACCGGAGUGGACGCAUCACUGGUGUUCGGGUUGUCAUGCCAAUGGCACUGCCCGGUAGCUAAAUGCGGAAGAGAUAAGUGCUGAAAGCAUCUAAGCACGAAACUUGCCCCGAGAUGAGUUCUCCCUGAGACUAUAAGUCUCCUGAAGGAACGUUAAAGACGAUGACGUUGAUAGGCCGGGUGUGUAAGCGCAGCGAUGCGUUGAGCUAACCGGUACUAAUGAACCGUGAGGCUUAACCUU